GAUGAACGCUGGCGGCGUGCCUAAUACAUGCAAGUCGAGCGAACGGACGAGAAGCUUGCUUCUCGGAUGUUAGCGGCGGACGGGUGAGUAACACGUGGAUAACCUACCUAUAAGACUGGGAUAAUUUGGGGAAACCGGAGAUAAUACCGGAUAAUAUUUUGAACCGCAUGGUUCAAAAGAGAAAGACGGUCUUGCGGUCACUAAUAGAUGGAUCCGCGCUGCAUUAGCUAGUUGGUAAGGUAACGGCUUACCAAGGCUACGAUGCAUAGCCUACCUGAGAGGGGGAUCGGCCACACGGGAGCUGGGCCACGGUCCAUGCUCCUACGGGAGGCAGCAGUAGGGAAUCGUCCGCAAUGGGCGAGAGCCUGACAGAGCAACGCCGCGUGAGUGAUGAAGGUCUUCGGAUCGUAAAACUCUGUUAUUAGGGGUGAACAUAUGUGUAAGUAACUGUGCACAGCUUGACGGUACCUGAUCAAAAAGCCACGGCUAACUACGUG
rnacentral:rRNA from 1 species